UUUGUUUUCAGGCAAAUGGAUUCUUGUUUAACAUAUUUAGGUAUCCAAUUAACAGCAUUCAAACCAACACAGCAAAUGGAUUCUUAGCCAACCCAGUGAGUACACCAAAUCCUCUCCUUCAUUGCAACUUGAAACCAGCUGACAUUGUCUUUCUGUUGGAUUCCUCAGGAAGUGAAGGAGUGCGACAUUUUAGGGAACAACUUAACUUUGUCAAAAACUUCGUAAAAGAGUUUGACAUAGGACCCUCCAAUGUACAAAUCAGUGCAGUGUCUUUUGCAACAAGAAUACGUGAAAACUUCAACUUAAAGACAUACCAUACUAAGGCAGACAUUCUUAAUGCCAUCGAUAGAAUUCCAUAUAUGUCCGGUUCCACACACACUGCUGAAGCAAUCACCUACGCGAUUCAGCACAGCUUCACCCUAUUGGUGGUGACAGGGCCCCUGUUAGUGACGUCUUGUUCGUUGUGACUGACGGACAGUCCAUUUCACUUUCAGCAACAAGUCAGGCGGCCAACUUAGCCCAUAAAGCUGGUAUUAAAACAUUCGCAAUAGGAAUCGCAAACUCAAUAUCCGAACAGGAACUUUUAAAUAUAGCCUCAGAUUCAAAACACGUGUUUCAUGUUUCCACAUUCGAUGCCCUUCACCUACUUUAGAAUGAGCUAAGAAAUAAAACUUGCGAAGCAUUAUCCCAAAGUAGUUUGAAUUGCUCUAACCAAAUAUCGAACUGUCAAAUCUAUGGUCCUUCUGUUUGCAUUACGUACGCCCAGUGGGGACGAGAUAAAUGUCCGCUGUACUGUGGAUAUUGUCAAGCCCAAGGAACGUCAACGUCAGUGGCUCCUGUAACCACAACAACACAAGGUGAUUUUC